rnacentral:rRNA from 1 species
UACGUAGGGUGCGAGCGUUAAUCGGAAUUACUGGGCGUAAAGCGCGCGUAGGUGGUUUGUUAAGUUGAAUGUGAAAUCCCCGGGCUCAACCUGGGAACUGCAUCCAAAACUGGCAAGCUAGAGUAGGGCAGAGGGUGGUGGAAUUUCCUGUGUAGCGGUGAAAUGCGUAGAUAUAGGAAGGAACACCAGUGGCGAAGGCGACCACCUGGGCUCAUACUGACACUGAGGUGCGAAAGCGUGGGGGAGCAAACAGG